rnacentral:rRNA from 1 species
AACGUAGGUACCGAGCGUUAUCCGGAUUCACUGGGCGUAAAGCGCGUGCAGGUGGUUUGGUAAGUCGGGCAUGAAAACUCUUGGCUCAACUGAGAGAAGCUGUCCGAUACUGCCAGACUUGAGGGUGUGAGAGGGAGGUGGAAUUCCGCGUGUAGUGGUGAAAUGCGUAGAUAUGCGGAGGAACACCAGUGGCGAAGGCGGCCUCCUGGCGCACUCCUGACACUCAGACGCGAAAGCUAGGGGAGCGAACGGG